rnacentral:rRNA from 1 species
CUUUGACAUCCAGAGAAUUUAGCAGAGAUGCUUUAGUGCCUUCGGGAACUCUGAGACAGGUGCUGCAUGGCUGUCGUCAGCUCGUGUUGUGAAAUGUUGGGUUAACGUCCGCAACGAGCGCAACCCUUAUCCUUUGUUGCCAGCACGUAAUGGUGGGAACUCAAAGGAGACUGCCGGUGAUAAACCGGAGGAAGGUGGGGAUGACGUCAAGUCAUCAUGGCCCUUACGAGUAGGGCUACACACGUGCUACAAUGGCGUAUACAAAGAGAAGCGACCUCGCGAGAGCAAGCGGACCUCAUAAAGUGCGUCGUAGUCCGGAUUGGAGUCUGCAACUCGACUCCAUGAAGUCGGAAUCGCUAGUAAUCGUAAAUCAGAAUGUUACGGUGAAUACGUUCCCGGGCCUUGUACACACCGCCCGUCACACCAUGGGAGUGGGUUGCAAAAGAAGUAGAUAGCUUAACCUUCGGGAGGGCGUUUACCACUUUGUGAUUCAUGACUGGGGUGAAGUCGUAACAAGGUAAGCGUAGUGCU